UACGUAGGGUGCAAGCGUUGUCCGGAAUUAUUGGGCGUAAAGAGCUCGUAGGCGGUCUGUUGCGUCGGCUGUGAAAACCCGGGGCUCAACCCCGGGCCUGCAGCCGAUACGGGCAGACUAGAGUUCGGCAGGGGAGACUGGAAUUCCUGGUGUAGCGGUGAAAUGCGCAGAUAUCAGGAGGAACACCGGUGGCGAAGGCGGGUCUCUGGGCCGUACUGACGCUGAGGAGCGAAAGCGUGGGGAGCAAACAGGAUUAGAACCUAC
rnacentral:rRNA from 1 species